rnacentral:lncRNA from 1 species
CAAAGGGCCAAGAAGGCAUUCAUGAGUCUGUCCACUCAGCCCACAUGGAUUAUGCAUCUAUUACGAGCCAGGGAAAGCUGCUAGGUGGUGGGAAUACAGAGAUUGGAAAAGAGAAAUCUUCCUGAGGUCUCAGGGGAGACAGACCAACGCAGAGAGUGAUGAAUAUUCCGACAGAGUUGGAGUGAUAAUAAGUGUUUCAUCUCAUUAGCUGUCUGAUCUCCAGGACAACCAUAUGCGUAGGCAGUUCUGCACAAACAGAGGCUCUCUUUACUCUAACCAUGAAGAUCUGAUGCAUGAAAUACCAAAAGUCCCUCAUUAUAAGAUGCUUUCCUUGGAGAGCAGUCCACAGACAGAGCCGGGCUUUGACAACAAAAUGCAGUUUGAAUCCAUUCAGGGCUGAAGUUGUUCUGUCUGCCACACAAUUCUUCAGGAAAUCCAUGUUGGGCAGAAUUUCAUCGGUUUUGUGCAGGCUAAAAUCGAUGGAGUUGGUUUGAUUUCAGGGGUUAGGAGAGAUCUUUCUGUUUUCUCACUAACAUAAGAUAUGG